rnacentral:lncRNA from 1 species
ACAUGGCUGAGCAACAUCCCUUCGGUGUCCCUGCUGGCACCCCUGGGGAUCCUGUCCUGGGGAACGGAGUGGCUGGCGCCAGUGAAGAAGACCCAGCUGCGGCCUUCUUGGCACUGCAAGAGAGCAAGACUAUGGGUAUCAAGAACAACAAGGUCGCCUUCGACAUCCUGGAUGGUGUCACCCCCAGGCCCCAGCCACAAGGUGAACAGCUGGGAGUCCAGAUGCUGUUGACGGAGUGAUGAUGGUGACUACUACCAGGAAAGUAAUGGUCCAAGAGACAAUUAUGCAGCUAUUUCACAAGUGGAUCGAUUCCCAUCCAGCCUGAAAAUAUAUGCAGAUGCAAAGAAGAGAAAAUGGAAUGCUUAGCAGCCCUUGCUGCUUAUUCUCCGAAGCAAGAAGCAGAGUGGAAAGAAAAAGCGAUAAAUGAGCUAGAAGAAUGGCGUGCAAGACAAGACGAGCAGCUACAGAAAAGAAAGGCAAACUACAGGGCAGAAGAUUUUGUAAAUGACAUUGACGAGUCAUCCCCCUGCACUGGGUGGUAACAGGUGGCCCGGUUGUUUGACUGUAACCCCAAGUCAGCAAGCAGGGCAAAGAGGUCUCCUGUAUGCACUCAGUCCUCAACUCCCUCAAGCAGGCGACCCCUGGUGCA